GACGAACGCUGGCGGCGUGCUUAACACAUGCAAGUCGAACGGAAAGGCCCUGCUUUUGUGGGGUGCUCGAGUGGCGAACGGGUGAGUAACACGUGAGUAUCCUGCCCUUGACUUUGGGAUAACUUCAGGAAACUGGGGCUAAUACCGGAUAGGAGCUCCUGCUGCAUGGUGGGGGUUGGAAAGUUUCGGCGGUUGGGGAUGGACUCGCGGCUUAUCAGCUUGUUGGUGGGGUAGUGGCUUACCAAGGCUUUGACGGGUAGCCGGCCUGAGAGGGUGACCGGCCACAGUGGGACUGGGGUACGGCCCAGACUCCUACGGGAGGCAGCAGUGGGGAAUAUUGCACAAUGGGCGGAAGCCUGAUGCAGCAACGCCGCGUGCGGGAUGACGGCCUUCGGGUUGUAAACCGCUUUCGCCUGUGACGAAGCGUGAGUGACGGUAAUGGGGAAAGAAGCACCGGCUAACUACGU
rnacentral:rRNA from 1 species